rnacentral:rRNA from 1 species
GAUGAACGCUGGCGGCGUGCCUAAUACAUGCAAGUCGAGCGAACAGAUAAGGAGCUUGCUCCUUUGACGUUAGCGGCGGACGGGUGAGUAACACGUGGGUAACCUUUCUAUAAGACUGGAAUAACUCCGGGAAACCGGGGCUAAUGCCGGAUAACAUGUUGAACCGCAUGGUUCUACAGUGAAAGGCGGCUUUGCUGUCACUUAUAGAUGGACCCGCGCCGUAUUAGCUAGUUGGUGAGGUAACGGCUCACCAAGGCAACGAUACGUAGCCGACCUGAGAGGGUGAUCGGCCACACUGGAACUGAGACACGGUCCAGACUCCUACGGGAGGCAGCAGUAGGGAAUCUUCCGCAAAGGGCGAAAGCCUGACGGAGCAACGCCGCGUGAGUGAUGAAGGUCUUCGGAUCGUAAAACUCUGUUAUUAGGGAAGAACAAAUGCGUAAGUAACUGUGCGCGUCUUGACGGUACCUAAUCAGAAAGCCACGGCUAACUACGUG